UACGUAGGGGGCAAGCGUUGUCCGGAUUCAUUGGGCGUAAAGAGCGCGUAGGCGGCCAGGUAGGUCGGUUGUGAAAACUGGAGGCUCAACCUUCAGAGGUCGACCGAAACCAUCUGGCUAGAGUCCGGGAGAGGAGAGUGGAAUUCCUGGUGUAGCGGUGAAAUGCGCAGAUAUCAGGAAGAACACCCGUGGCGAAAGCGGCUCUCUGGAACGGUACUGACGCUGAGACGCGAAAGCGUGGGGAGCGAACAGG
rnacentral:rRNA from 1 species